GACGAACGCUGGCGGCGUGCUUAACACAUGCCAGUCGAACGGAAAGGCCUGCUUUCCCUUGUGGAUUGCGGGUACUCGAGUGGCGAACAGGUGAGUAACACGUGAGUGAUCUGCCCCCAACUUGGGUAUAAGCCUGGGAAACUGGGUCUAAUUCCCGAUAGGACUGCAGGGUGGUGCCGGUGGUGGAAAACUAUUUUCUAGUGGUUGGGGAUGAGCUCGCGGCCUAUGAGCUUGUUGGUGGGGUAAUGGCCUACCAAGGCGGCGACGGGUAGCCGGACUGAGAGGGUGGACGGCCACAUUGGGACUGAGACACGGCCCAGACGGCUGCGGGAGGCAGGAGUGGGGAAUAUAGCACAAUGGGCGGAAGCCUGAUGCAGCGACGCCGCGUGGGGGAUGACGGCCUUCGGGUUGUAAACUCCUUUCGACCGCGAGGAAGCCACCUGGUUGGAAGGGUGGUGACGGUAGUGGUAGAAGAAGCACCGGCUAACUACGUG
rnacentral:rRNA from 1 species